rnacentral:tRNA from 12 species
CGGGAUAUGGCCUAGUCCGGUAAGGCGCUUGUCUGGGGGACAAGAGAUCGCAGGUUCAAAUCCUGCUAUCCCGACCA